UACGUAGGGUGCAAGCGUUGUCCGGAAUUAUUGGGCGUAAAGAGCUCGUAGGCGGUUCGUCGCGUCGGCUGUGAAAACCCGGAGCUCAACUCCGGGCCUGCAGUCGAUACGGGCGGACUUGAGUGUUGCAGGGGAGACUGGAAUUCUGGUGUAGCGGUGAAAUGCGCAGAUAUCAGGAGGAACACCGGUGGCGAAGGCGGGUCUCUGGGCAACUACUGACGCUGAGGAGCGAAAGCGUGGGGAGCGAACAGG
rnacentral:rRNA from 1 species